rnacentral:rRNA from 1 species
GAUGAACGCUGGCGGCGUGCCUAAUACAUGCAAGUCGAGCGAACGGACGAGAAGCUUGCUUCUCUGAUGUUAGCGGCGGACGGGUGAGUAACACGUGGAUAACCUACCUAUAAGACUGGGAUAACUUCGGGAAACCGGAGCUAAUACCGGAUAAUAUUUUGAACCGCAUGGUUCAAAAGUGAAAGACGGUCUUGCUGUCACUUAUAGAUGGAUCCGCGCUGCAUUAGCUAGUUGGUAAGGUAACGGCUUACCAAGGCAACGAUGCAUAGCCGACCUGAGAGGGUGAUCGGCCACACUGGAACGGAGACACGGUCCAUACUCCUACGGGAGGCAGCAGUAGGGAACCUUCCGCAAUGGGCGAAAGCCUGACGGAGCAACGCCGCGUGAGUGAUGAAGGUCUUCGGAUCGUAAAACUCUGUUAUUAGGGAAGAACAUAUGUGUAAGUAACUGUGCACAUCUUGACGGUACCUAAUCAGAAAGCCACGGCUAACUACGUG